ACGGGUGAGUAAUGCUUAUCUAACUUGCCAAUUAGUGGGGGAUAACUCUGGGAAACCAGGGCUAAUACCGCAUUUUUUGCUUCGGCAAUGAAAGGAAGUCGCAAGAUUUUCGCUAAUUGAUAGGGAUAAGUCGUAUUAGCUAGUUGGCGGGGUAAUGGCCCACCAAGGCAAUGAUGCGUAGCCGGGCUGAGAGGCUGAUCGGCCACAAGGGAACUGAGACACGGUCCCUACUCCUACGGGAGGCAGCAGUGAGGAAUCUUCGGCAAUGGGGGAAACCCUGACCGAGCAAUACUACGUGAAGGAGGAAGGUCUACGGAUUGUAAACUUCUGUUAGUGCGGAAGAAGAAUCGAACGCAAGUUCGGUUUUGACGGUACGCACAGAGAAAGCCACGACUAACUACGUGCCAGCAGUCGCGGUAAGACGUAGGUGGCGAACGUUAUCCGGAAUUAUUGGGCGUAAAGGGUGCGUAGGCGGCGGAAUAAGUUAGUGGUGGGAAAUCGAGGCUCAACCUCGUGGAAGCCAUUAAUACUGUUUUGCUAGAGGACAGGAGAGGUUAACGGAACUCCCGGUGGAACGGUAAAAUGUGUAGAUAUCGGGAAGAACACCAAUAAGGCGAAGGCAGUUAACUAUUCUGAUCCUGACGUUGAGGCACGAAAGCGUGGGGAGCAAAAAGGAUUAGAUACCCUUGUAGUCCACGCCCUAAACGAUGAGUGCUAGGUAUUGGGAACUUGAUUCUCAGUGCUGCUAGUUAACACGGUAAGCACUCCGCCUGGGUAGUACGCUCGCAAGAGUGAAACUCAAAGGAAUUGACGGGGACUCGCACAAGCACUGGAGCAUGUGGUUUAAUCCGAUGCAACGCGUAGAACCUUACCAAGGCUUGACAUGUUUGGCAAAACUCGGGAAACCGAGCGGAGGUUAUCCAAACACAGGUGCUGCAUGGCCGUCGUCAGUUCGUGCCGUGAGGUGUAUGGUUAAGUCCUAUAACGAACGCAACCCUUGGGCUUAGUUACCAGCAUUCAGUUGGGGACUCUAAGCCGACUGCCUGAGUAAUCAGGAGGAAGGAAAGGAUGACGUCUGGUCGUC
rnacentral:rRNA from 1 species